GGGGUUGUGGCUCAGCGGUAGAGUGCUUGCCUCACAUGUGCAAGACCCUGGGUUUGAUCCUCAGCACCACA
rnacentral:tRNA from 1 species